GUAACGAAGGGGGAGGCUAGCGUUGCUCGGAAUCACUGGGCGUAAAGGGUGCGUAGGCGGGUCUUUAAGUCAGGGGUGAAAUCCUGGAGCUCAACUCCAGAACUGCCUUUGAUACUGAAGAGCUUGAGUCCGGGAGAGGUGAGUGGAACUCCGAGUGUAGAGGUGAAAUUCGUAGAUAUUCGGAAGAACACCAGUGGCGAAGGCGGCUCACUGGCCCGGUACUGACGCUGAUGUGCGAAAGCGUGGGGAGCAAACAGG
rnacentral:rRNA from 1 species